rnacentral:rRNA from 1 species
GAUGAACGCUAGCGGCAGGCUUAAUACAUGCAAGUCAAGGGGGUAGCAAUACAACCGGCGCACGGGUGAGUAACGCGUACACAACAUACCAUAUACUGGAGUAUAGCUUUGGGAAACUGAAGGUAAUCCUCCAUAACAUUGCGAGAGGGCAUCUGAUUGCAAUUAAAGUUUCGGCGGUAUAUGAUUGGUGUGCGUUUGAUUAGCUAGUUGGUAGGGUAACGGCCUACCAAGGCGACGAUCAAUAGCUGGCGUGAGAGCGCGACCAGCCACACUGGAACUGAGACACGGUCCAGACUCCUACGGGAGGCAGCAGUAGGGAAUAUUGGACAAUGGAGGAAACUCUGAUCCAGCCAUGCCGCGUGAUAGAUGAAGGCCCUCUGGGUUGUAAAUAUCUUUUAUCUGGGAAGAAACAAUCUUAUUCUUAAGAUCUUGACGGUACCAGAGGAAUAAGCACCGGCUAACUCCGUGCCAGCAGCCGCGGU